UUUUACAAAACAUUUUGAAUUUUUACGAAAUCGCUGGUAUAAAAGACAUCCAAAGUAUUACGAUUAUUAUCUCACUCACCCAUAAGAAGGAUCUUCUAUAUAUGUUUCUUUUUCCUUAAGUUAUGUGGCCUACUAUCAUGUUGGUUGUUUCUGAAGAUGAAGAAUUUAAGGUGUGGACUAUAUCAGAAGCAAGAGGGCUUGUUAAAGGUCCAUUCGGAGCAGGAUGAGGCAGGUUGAAAAUGAAAAAAAUUGUUAUUCGAGACGGAGCAAGGCGGAUGAAAAUUUGGCGGAUUAAGUUCAACCCUGUAACGACCCGUAAAAAGAGCAAGUGAAACUAGCGCCUAACUAAUGUGUGUAAGAGUUUGAUUUGAGGUUUCAUAUGAUAGAAUGUUGUCCCCAUCUAUGAUUGAGGGGCUUAGGGGUCAAGCGUCAAGGUACCACUCCCCAAGGAUCACCCUAAGGGUACUUGAGGAAGACCCUUAGCCUAACCCCCAAUACCCCAAAGAUAACCAAGAGGACCACGCCCCGUAGGUCCAUCCACGCCCUGUGGAUGGCCUCCGUAGGUCAUGGCCCUUAAAUCCAAGACUCAGCCACAAACCACGAUUGACCAGGACGGGGUGUGACCCACAAUGCGUGGUAUGGUGUCUUGAGUUCCCACCUGGUUCGCUUUCUUAGUUCGAUCAAGGCAAGGGUGAUUUUGUAAACUCCUCCUUUGGUCAGUUUAGUUCAUGGACGGUUAUUUUAGGUUAAUUAAAGUAUUUUAAGAGUAAAAAGUGUUAGGCUCUAUUUUCCAAUUCAUUAUUUCAAAACUCAAAAUACAAACCUCCCUUCCCCUCUAAAAGUUCUCUCUCUAGAAUCCUCCAUUAGAAAUGAAGAAUUCAAGCUUUCAAGGUCAAGACUUCACUUUUUUCAAGGGAUUUUACUGGGAUUCUUCUACUAAAGGGAAAGUUAUGAGUAAAUUGAAUGUUGAAGUAGAAAUGGGACUCAAAUGUUGAUCCACUUGAAAGGAUUGGGAGAUGUGAUGUAUUAUACUUUGGAAAAUAGGUUUCAAAGGAGCUUUGAGUUGAAGAUUUGGUAAGUCCUCAUAGUUUCGAGGACAAACUCAUCGUGUUCCCUUAUGUCUUUUAUUAUUAUGUUUAGAGUUUUGUAUGGGUUGUGUCACAAAUUUUAAGUAUUAUGUUUCUAGAUGGUUUGAGACAAUGUAUAUAAAGACUUCCACUUGCUUUUAUAAAAGGGAAACGGAUAAAUAUACCUUCGAAUUAUCGUAAAUGGUAUGUCAAUACCCUUCGUUAUAGUUUAAGAUUGUAUAUACCCUUACUGUCAAUAUUUUGGAUUGUGUAUACCCUUGAAACUAACAGCCGGACACAUGGCUACAUCUCAAUUAUUUACAUAAUUUUUAUUAUAUUUUUAUCCAAAAUUAAUAAACCCACUCAUCAUCCCUAACACAUUUGUAACCCGAAUUAAAACACCAAUGACCAUCUUCCAUAAUUCCCUUCAAACAAUGAUCCAUCUUCUUCAUUCUCUUCUUUAGUUCUCAAAAUUUUGUUGCACGAUUUAAAAAUUAACUAACAUUAGCCAUGUACAUUUUUUUUGUGUUUUAGAGUUCAUGGAUGAUUGUGCACAAAACCAUCAAACAAAUUUUGUGAAUGACCACCCCUAUAGUUGCCGCCUUCUUCUCCAAAGUUCACACAAACAUAUAGAUCAUUAGAGAUGAGAUUUUGGUGUUUCUUUAGAUGGAAUGCAAUACUUUUUUAGGUUGUGUGCGCCUUGAAGAGGCGCCGACAUUGGCCUUGCUUCAUUAAGCUUGUCGAAAAACCACCAAGACGUUCAUUAGUGGUCUGUCGGAGUUCAAACCCUUAGAAUAAGCUGAAAUUUCUUGAGGUAGAUGAUAAGUGGGUGGGGAAUAAACUCCAGAUGUCAAAACUUUACAAACUUUCCCAGAAAUUAGACGAAAUCUCUUGCGACAAUGCAUUAGGCGAUCUCGCCAUAAAUUCUCAAAGCUUCUUCAUUGUUAAUUUUCCUCAUAACAAAUUGAAUUUUGGCGAGGGAGUAGAUCUGACGAUGCUCCAUCCUCUUCACUAGACAGAAUUUGAGUCAAAACACAUGAAUAUGAUAUUGUUGCAAAGGUUUUGAAUUUUAUAUUUAGCUUUAUUAAAAUAUAUUCGAAUUAUUUCAAAAAAGGGUUUUGGGUGGGUUUAAAAUAGAAAUGGGUGGAUUUUCUAAUUUUGGGUAAAACAAUCAUGUUAGUCCUUGAAAUGAAGUCACGUGUUAGGCCGUUAGUAUCAAGGACAUACACAACCCAAAAUAUUGGCGGUAAGGUUAUAUACAACCGUAAAGUAUAACGGAUGGUAUUGACAUACCAUUUACGAUAUUUUGGAGGUAUAUUUAUUCUUUUUACCUAUAUAAAAAUGUCUUCGAAUAUAAAUGAAAAGUUUUUAAUUUAGCUUUGUUUUCCUAUUCUCCUAUGACCAUAAAUGAUAUGAGGCUUGUAUGAAACUUUUUGGAGUCUUGUACACCGUGUCACUUUCAGGGUGUAGGCUAGGGUGGUGACAAACAUGGUAUCAGAGCACAAGAUUUUGUGAAUGGUUUUAGGAUAUCUAAAACCACAUCUAGUAGAGUCUUGUUCAAAGUGUGAAGUGCGCCAGGAGGCUAUUGGGUGUUAGGAAAGUCUCACUUCUUCAUUCUUCAAGUCGUGCCAUAGAGUUUAACUCUAUAAUAUUUUUUUCGCAUUCCUUGUCGGGUGGUCUUUAAGAUAUGAUCACUUGGAAGACUUAUAUUAGGAGGAGUGAGGGAGAAAAUUUGGUUGUGAUGCCAAUUAAGGAUAUGUGACUUGUUAAGAUUUUAGGUGAUAGAUUGUGAUGUUGUCUCUAGUAUGAAUGAGUUGUUUUAUGGUUAUAUGUUUUGUUGGUAGAAAGUUAUGAUGAGAUUUAAGGUAUAUUGAAAGAGUUUAUGAAUAGUGUUGUUUAAGUGAUGCCUAGAGAUGUUGGGUGUGUGACUCUUUUGAAAGAAGGGUAGAAGUGUUAUUCACCUUAGAAAUUGAGAGAAGAGAUGCUUAAGAGAAUUUGUAUAGACUUGCUCCCAAGGGGUAGAUAAUGUGAUUAUAUGGUAAGGUCACUGAGUAACCUAGAUGUACAUGAGCUAGAGUUCUUUUACAUUCUUACCAUAUGAGGAGUGGUGAGUUUGAGAAUUUUAGACCCGAUCUAAUAGACUCAUACGAGACGUUGAGAUGGAGUUGAUGAUUUCUUUUAAUUGUGAAUGUUGUAUUGAGGUUUUUAUAUUGUUUUCAUAGUAACCUUAGUUGGGUUUACUCCUAAGUGUGGAAUGGUAUGAAUAGUAAGGUUGUUGAGAGUAUCCUUGCCUCUUUCCUUUGAUUCCCAUUCAAGCUUGAGACGGGGAGUUCCUUGUAGCUUGUUUUUGUCUUGGAGGCAUGAGUGAUUAUGUGUUCCAUGGCUUCCUUUUGAUAUGCAUGUUCUUAAUGAAUUCUUGGUUAAAUGAGAAAAUGAGUCUAUAUAAUAUAUAUUCCUCAUGUUAAUGUGCAUUUAGUUUGAGUUGCCUCUAUGCUUCAUCACAUGAAUUGUAAAACAUACCUAAAUGUGUUUUUUUAGAGUAAUUACAUAUUUUGCUUGAUGAUGUUAUGAUGAGCAUUAUUUGAGUUGGAGAAGGAAGUUCCUCCAAUAAAUGAGAAAUGAUUAAUUUUGAUGCAUAAUGAGUUUGUAGAUGUAGUUCAUUCUUUCUUGUAUUGCAUUGAGCUUAUUGAUGUGGAGUUGAUGUCUCUUCCUAGUUUUGUGCAUUGUUUAUGAAGUUGCAUGCAUGAUGGGCUGCUGGGCUUGAGUCGUUAACCCUUUAAUGUGUUCUAAGUGUCAUUCGAGGACGAAUGUUUCAAGUGGAGAUAAUGUAACGACCCAUAAAAUGAGUAAGUGGAACUAGAGCCUAACUAGUGUGUGAGAGAGAGUUUGAUUUGACGUUUCAUGUGAUAGAAUAUUGUCUCGAUUUACGAUUGAGAGGUAUAGGGUUCAAGCGUCAAGGUACCACUCCCCAAGGACUACCCUAAGGGUCCUUGAGUUAGACCCUUAUCCUAACCGCCUAGACCCCAAAGAUAAGAAAGAGUUGCCAAAAGCUGAUGACCUACAAAAGGGGACCACGCCCAGUAGGUCCAUUCAUGCCCCAUGGAUGGCCUCCGUAGGUCAUGACCCCCAAAUCCAAGCCUCAUCCACAAACCACGGCUGACCAGGAUGGUGUAUGACCCAGACCAUAGUCCAUGGUUUGGUGUCGUGAGCCCCCACCUAAUUUGAUGUCUUGGUUCAACCAAGGUAAGGGUGAUUUGGUAAAUUCCUCCCUUGGUUAGUUUAGUUCAUGGACGGUUAUUUUAGGUUAAAUAAAGUAUUGGAAGUGUUAGACUCUAUUUUUCAAUUCAUUAUUUCAAAACCCAAAAUACAAACCUCAUUUCCCCGCCAAAAGUUCUCUCUCUUUAAAACUCCAUUGGAGGUGACGAAUUCAAGUUUCUAAGAUCAAUACUUCAAGUUUUUCAAGGUAUUUUCAUGGGAUUCUUCUACUAAAGGUGUGGUAGUCUUGAUCCUUGUCUAAUUUUUCAUUCAAGGAACCAAUUUCAAAAGUGAUUUCAAAUCUUCAAAGUUGAUCAAAAAUCUUAGUUUUCAAUCUUGGCAUGAGUUCAAUUCUAAUCGUUUUUCAAAAGCUUUAUUGCAUUGCAGGAAUCAAUUUAGAUAGUGCUUUGUGGCUCUGGUGGUGACUAGAUCAAUGUGUUAUUGUUUCAAGAUAAAAUCUCAUCGAAGUUCGUUGAAUUAUGAAUCAAUUGUGGAAUUAAAGAUGAAUUUAUGGUGAAUUUCUCCUAGAACCCAUGCUUUUCCCAAAUCUCUAUAUUGUGAAUUGUGAUUGGUGGUUGAUUGAUUAUGAAGAAUGUAUGUUAAAUUGUUUGUGUUUAUAUUGAAUUAGUGUAUUGAAUCAUGUCAAAAAAAAAUUAACUAUGGUAAUAUCUUAGAUCUAUGGGUUGAGAUC